AACCAAAUAGCCCAGUCGGUACAGCAUGAGACACUUAAUUUCAAGGUCAUGGGUUCGAGCACCACGUUGGGCA